CCUACGGGUGGCAGCAGUGGGGAAUAUUGCGCAAUGGGCGAAAGCCUGACGCAGCGACGCCGCGUGAGGGAUGAAGGUCUUCGGAUCGUAAACCUCUGUCAGCAGGGAAGAACGGUCACUGUGCUAAUCAGCAGUGAAUUGACGGUACCUGCAAAGGAAGCACCGGCUAACUCCGUGCCAGCAGCCGCGGUAAUACGGAGGGUGCGAGCGUUAAUUGGAAUUACUGGGCGUAAAGCGCUCGUAGGCGGUAUGUCAAGUCAAGGGUGAAAGCCCCGCGCUCAACGGGGGAACUGCCUUUGAAACUGGCAAACUGGAGUGUGUGAGAGGAGAGUGGAAUUCCAGGUGUAGGAGUGAAAUCCGUAGAUAUCUGGAGGAACAUCAGUGGCGAAGGCGACUAUCUGGCACAUAACUGACGCUGAGGAGCGAAAGCGUGGGUAGCAAACAGGAUUAGAUACCCCUGUAGUC
rnacentral:rRNA from 1 species